ensembl:lncRNA
UGAGAGGUAGUAGAAGUUGCACUUUUAGCUUUAGCCUGAGCAGGAUGAGGGUGAUGCUGGUGGAGCUUGCUGCAGGGCCUCGGGCUGAACCUCCUCUGUGCAUGAGAGAUAAUUUAGAACUUUAAAUAUUUCAAAUAUAAAUAUAUGAAUCUCUUUGCACUCACAAACAUUCAAUGGGCCUACUAAGGCAAUUGGAAAAAAUGAUCUUAAUAAAAUAUAAUCAGAUGAAACUGCAUUCAAAAACUGCACAGGGUGCAAAAUAUGUCAAAAGUGAUGGUGAAUCAUAGCUGCCCCUCUUAAAAUAGCUUUUAACUUUUAGAAUGCACAUUACCUUUCUGGGUGUCCAUUUCUUUCACUGUAUGGUGGUAGAAACAAUAUCUGCUUCACACAGUGUGGGCCUGAGGAUUAAUGCUAUCACAAGGCUGAUACCGUGUAUUAGUCUGUUUUCAUGCUGCUGAUAAAGACAUACCCGAGACUGGGCAAUUUACAAAAGAAAGAGGUUUAUUGGACUUACUGUUCCACAUGGCUGGGGAGGCCUCACAAUCACGGCAGAAGGCAAAGAGGAGAAAUUCACAUCUUACGUGGAUGGCAGCAGGCAAAGAGAGGGCUUGUGCAGGGAAAUUCCCGUUUUUAAAACCAUCAGAUCUCAGGAGACCCCUUCACUGUCACAAGAACACAGGGGAAAGAUCCGCCCCCAUGAUUCGGUCAUGUCCCACUGAGUCCCUCCUACAACAUGUGGGAAUUAUGGGAGCUACAAGAUGAGAUUUGGGUGGGGACACAGAACCGUAUGGUACCACUAGCCCAGAUACUGUGCUUGGUGCAUAUAAUAUGGCUAUGGCCACUAGUGCCACCUUCCCUAAUGUUGGUGCUAUGGGAAACUAUGGGGGAAGAGAUUCAUUUUUCCCUGGGGUCUGAAGUCAUGGAAGUCUUCAAAGAAAAGAGGUCACUUAAUGUUAUCUUAAAAAGCUUUAGAGGAGAAAUAAAAUGAGCAAAACUGUGGAGCAUGCAAAACUCAUGUGAUUAAACUUAGGGUUGAUUGCGGGGCUAGUGGUGAAAGUUAAAAGAAUCAUUGGUGUGUGAAAUGACAUGUUUAUAACACGUAACAUAUUAAGAUAAUACCCCAUGAGCAACUAGAUAUUAAAACUUGUAAAAUAAUAGUAAUAAUUUGAGAAAUUAUUUCAGAAAGAUAAUUUCCAACGCAGGUGGACUUCUCCAAAAAUAAUUGUCUAGAAUCAAUCAUUUCCCGAAUGGUAAAACCAUCAGUGCACCUACAUCAGAGUCCCUAAAAGGAGCCUUCCAGGCUGGGCACAGUGGCUCACACCUGUAAUCCCAGCACUCUGGGAGGCCGAGAUGGGCGGAUCACGAGGUCAGGAGAUCAAGACCAUCCUGGCUAACACAGUGAAACCCCGUCUCUACUAAAAAUACAAAAAAUUAGCCGGGCAUGGUGGCAGGCGCCUGUAGUCCCAGAUACUUGGGAGACUGAGGCAGGAGUAUGGUGUGAACCCGGGAGGCGGAGCUUGCAGUGAGCCAAGAUCCGGCCACUGCACUCCAGCCUGGGCGACAUAGUGAGACUCCAUCUCAAAAAAAAAAAAAAAAAAAAAA